rnacentral:lncRNA from 1 species
UUUUUUGGUAAAUCAAAUUUGGCUCUCAUCAAUGAUAUGAUAUUUAUCUAAGGAUUUACAAAGACGUGUAUCAAGUAUCUUAUUAAAAAGGCUUCCCCAAUGAAUCAGUAAUUGUAAUUCCUCGAUAGUUAUUAAGAUCGGAUGCAUCAUUCCCUUUAUGAAUUGGGAAUAAAAAAUGUGUGGUCCAGGGUUCAUGGUAUUUUCCAUAAGAAAGACAAAGAUGUAUAAUGGAUAGCAUGGUACCAAUAGGCGUAUUCAGAAUUUUCUAAAACCACGGGUAAUAAUUAUACCUGAACUUCGAAUUUGCACCUUAUAAUCAGCUUGACUAUAUACCAAAUGAAAAUACGAC